rnacentral:rRNA from 1 species
GAUUUCUGGUUUGAUGUGCCUGUCCCGCCACGGUAACGUGUGUGAGUGACGGCGUAUGUCUGCCAUCCUUCUAGAUUUGGCAGUCUACUCUUUACUGAGCUGGUCUGUCUGUUCUAGAUCUUUUACUUUGAAAAAAUUAGAGUGUUUCAAGCAGGCUUUUGCUAUGAAUACAUUAGCAUGGAAUAAUGAGUUAGGACUUCGGUUCUAUUUUGUUGGUUUCUAGGACUGAAGUAAUGAUUGAUAGGGACAGUUGGGGGUGCUAGUAUUCAGUGCGAAGAGGUGAAAUUCUUGGAUCCACUGAAGACUAACUUAUGCGAAAGCAUU